CAAAAACAAUAAAUUGUUCCACUAUUAACUCUCGCUAUUCUAGAAAUUUAAGUGUCAUUAAUAUUGGUCUUUAAAGCUCAAGUUGCUAUUUACAACCGUCUCUUAGUCAUCGAAAUAAAACUAAUGAUCGAUCUUUGAAGCCAUCAAUUAUACGCUUUCAUCAAUGUCGAAUUCAUCAAGGCAUUUAGCAGGUAGAGUAAAAAAAGAAUCGUUACAAAAAUGGAUGGUUCAUGUCUUGCGAAGAGAUUGUGAAACUUUUAUGGCAGCCUCCGCUGUAGAUUUAGCACUCAUUGGAUUCACACCUGUUACAAUUCUUCCAUCUACCUGAGUGAAAUCGGACAUCGGGGUAGGCGGGUCAACGAACUCUGCACCGGCUUCUCUAAACAAGCUGUUCAGAUCUUGCAUGUUCCUUUCUCUCAAAGCACUUGAUACACCCAUUACAAGCUCUCCAGUACUAUUGAAGGCGGUAACCUUCUUACCAUAUACGACGGAACGUCCUUCUGGUGACUUGGUGUCAUCUACAAAAGGCAGCAUAACUGGACCGUGGCAGACGGCAGCAAGUACACCAUUGCUUGCAUAAAUUUGUUGAGCAAGCGUUUGCAAAUUUGUGGCAUGUGGUAGAUCAAACAUGGCUGCAUGACCUCCUGCAAUAAACAUGAUACAGAACUCUUUGUAGUUAAUUUUAUCGGCAGGCUUAAUAUCCUUCAGCGCAUACCAAAACUCAUUAUCCUUGUUGUCAAAAGCAUCCCUCUCCACUUCACCCAAGGCAGAUUUUUUGAUUGAAUGGUCGUCGAAUUUACAUUUUCCUGUUUCUGAAGUUAGUUGAACUUCAUAACCCGCUUCUCUGAAAACUUGAUAGGGAAUCAAAAGUUCCGCAAAGUGAACUCCAGUAUUCAUUCCAUCUGGAUAAAAUGGUCCAUAGUAACUGCUUGCCACGAGAAGUACUUUUCCUUCUGAUGCCAUGGUGUAUAAUGAAUGGGUGAUCUUUGCAGCUUCACCUCAAUAAAUAACAAAUUUUAAAAAAACAUCACUUAAUUGCAAAAGCGGGAUGAAUUUCCAUUACGACUACUCACGUAAUCUAUUUACCAGGUUCUUGGAUUUCUAUAGAAAGAGUGACGAGGGCAUUGUGUCAAUAUGAUGUUAAAUUCAUCUUAAAAUCAGAUGGAUACGUUUGAAUCUAAAGUGGUUUCGGCACAAUUCUAUUCUAUUGUGUAGAAGGACAUUGCGAUCGCUACUGAGAAAAUGCAAAUCUCUUUGUAUUGUUUAGUGUAUAAGUUUCAUCUUGAUUUGAGAGAUUUGCUUCAAGGACUUUUUGCUAGUUUCAAUUAUCAUCAUGAUUUUCCUCAUACGUUUUAGGAUUGUGAGCGAUG